CAUCUUCAAAAUUUUUCUCCCAAUUCAGGAAACCCUAGGUUCCUUUCCUCACAAAAUCGGCGGUCUAAUGCCCCCUUCCUCACCACCACCGUUCGCCGCCGCCAAACUCCACUCUCCAUCGAGUUCCGUCAGACGGCAUCGUCGCCUUCUGCUCCUCGUCUCACCACGGCUCGCGGCUACCCGGCUAGGACGGUGUUGUCCGUGUUCGUCGCUGGCUUCCUAUCGACGGCACAGCUUCUCCGAUCGGUUCUUCCUCCGUAAGCGCCGGGCGGAGCUGGUUUAACCCCUGUCGAUACCUCCUUCUAUCGCUUCCUUUGAUCCGAAGAUCAGAGGUGCCUAUAAGGCAUUUGGACAGAACUCUAAUCGAUUUUUGGGGCUACUGGUUGUUACUAUUAUUAGUUUCUACCGUUAUGGAUUCUACUUGAAGUUGCUAUAUAUGAUGCUUUCUAAAUGAUGCAAAGGGUGAUAGCUUAACCUCUUGGAAGUGAACUUGUGGUGCUGUCCUUAGGCUGUGAAACUCGGCCUCUCACGGUGAGGAAUAGCUUGUAGAGUCCUUGCAACAAGCUUCACUAGGAUCCUCUCAUUCCAACUCAAAGGGAGACUGAUAAUGAAUGUGCUGAUGGGAUAAUUUGUUAUGCGUAGAGGCUGCCUAUAUAGGAGAACUUAUGUACUUGUGAGAGCUCUGAUUGGCCUGCAGUGGCAUUGGUUUUUCUUAUUGGCUGCCCUCUAACUGCAGUUGGCGUUUUCUUGAGUGCUUAGUACUUAAUCCAUUUAUGAAGUUUGUAUGUUUAUGGCAGGUGCACAACAUUUGACCGCUUUUCAUUGGCAAUGGCAGGUAUAAAUGGAGUACAGGAUGCAGGGAUUCAGCCUUGCAUAAUGCAGCUACUGAGGUGCAAAUUCUGUUGGCUAGACUUGCUCUUUUCGGCCCAACUCUUUCUCACUUUUCUGAAAAGUUAAGUCACUCUUCUCUUUUCAAUAUAUGAUGUUAGUUUGCAUUUUAUUCCAUGCAUUUCAACCCCUUUUCGUGCGCUUCUGGCUGGCUACCGAGGCUGCCCUUCCUCGUGGUCUCACCCUCUCGGGCUUGUCUGAAAUUAUGGGGCCGAGACGGCCCGGUGAUAAAGGUCGACAUAGUUGCUAGGGGUCUCGAGUUGUAAUAGCGUAGUUAGACUUAACUUUCUUUCCAACAUGUACGCAAAACUCGUUUAAUAGUUGGUGUAUUUCUUUCUAGCAUUUGUAACUCAUUGGCUUGGAUUUCUUUAUAUUGUAUUUAUUGAUUUUUAUUUAAGAAAUAAAAAUACUCUUUCAUUAUUCAUCAAA